GUCUAUGGCCAUACCACCCUAAAUGCACUCGAUCUUGUCUGAUCUUGGAAGACAGUAGGUGCUGGCAAAGCCCGGUUGGCUAGGGUUC
rnacentral:rRNA from 1 species